rnacentral:ncRNA from 15 species
GGAACACGGUGCAACUCCGUGGCGGGCCCGCCGCUGUAAUCGGGGACGGUCGUUCCACGGCGUGGUGCAGUUUUUCCACGCCACCCACUGCCGCAGCAAAUGCGGCGGGAAGGGGGAGCCCAGUAGCAGGACCGGUCGAUCCGUAAGCCAGAAGAC